rnacentral:piRNA from 1 species
GUCGCGUUCAGAGCUGCCGCUGGUUGAU